CAGGUCGUGCAAGACAGACAGAGGUGGAGGAAGUAUUUAAAUGCUUUACAUACGUAAAAGUAGAUACAUUGUAUGUGAUGCAUGGAGCUGAUGUGAGUAUGAUGUCACUGAGGCAACUGGACUCCUACGUCCAGGACCACAAUGAAAAUACAUAAUGAGAUCAUCCAGUAUGAAGAGGACAGAUAACUGUUAUAUGGCUGCUAUCUUGUCCAGGUCUCUCUUGUAAAUGAGGUUUUCUUUAAUCUAAAUGGCACUUAUUGGUAAAAUAAAAGAAAUAAUAAUCA